rnacentral:rRNA from 1 species
CCUACGGGAUGCAGCAGUGAGGAAUAUUUGACAAUGGGCGGGAGCCUGAACCAGCCAAGUCGCGUGAGGGAAGACGGUCCUAUGGAUUGUAAACCUCUUUAGGCGGGGAGCAAUGCCGGGCACGCGUGCCCGGAGGGAGAGUACCCGCAGAAUAAGCAUAGGCUAACUCCGUUCCAGCAGACGCGGUAAUACGGAGGAUGCGAGGGUUAUAGGGAUUUAUGGGGUUUAAGGGGUGCGUAGGCGGAUUUUUAAGUCAGUGGUAAAAGGUUGGGUCUCAACCCGGGCCGGCCGUUGAAACGGGGUGUCCUGAGUGGGCGAGAAGUAUGCGGAAGGCGUGGUGUAGCGGUGAAAUGCAUAGAUAUCACGCAGAACUCCGAUUGCGAAGGCAGCAUACCGGCGCCCGACUGACGCUGAGGCACGAAAGCGUGGGGAUCGAACAGGAUUAGAUACCCGGGUAGUC